CUUAGGCCAUGUUUGAUAUCCUCUUAUAGGCUGUAUUAGCAAAUGUAUCUAACAAUAUAUGUGUGUUUGAAAUCCUGGGUACGAAUUACGAAUGGUCCGGGAAAAUGCAUAGGCUCGGCCAUAUAUUUCUGUUCACUCCGGAAAACGCAACUGGCACCCCCCCUCUGAUACGUUUUCCAUACUUGUAAAAUGACUUCCAAUAUCCAAAUUUGCCCUCAUUUUUGAAACACAAAAAUUCGUCAACAUAGAAAUUUCCUCCACAUUUGCGAUUCUCUGCGUCUUUCUCCUCAAACUCAACGAAGAACCCUAUGUAGGGGUUGAAGCACCAGUAGCCAGCAGAUCAAGGGACAACAUCCACCAUCCUAGAAUAGAGUAUUGGAUAACAAAUCAAGGCAAGUGAUUUAAAUUUGGUUUUUCUAUAUACGAAGGAAUGUAUAAUAGAUUUAAUUCAAUGGUUUAUUCUGUUGGCUGCUCACACUUGAUCCUAAAUUUUAAGCUUCUGAAUUUAUUAGGAUGAUCAGAUAUUACUUGAUGUUUGUAAAGUUUGAGUGUCUAGUGUGCAGAUUUUUCGUUCUAGUAGAAGUGCAGAAACAUGACAAGUAAUUGGAUAACUUUCAAUAAAUUUCAAUUAUAUAAAUAGUACUUGUGUUUAUAUUUUGAGUGGUGAUUCAUUGAUAUUUGUUAGUGAAAUCCAAAAAUAGAUAUGUUGUUGUUUUGAUUUAUUUGACACCUGUUUAUUAUCGUUUUAUUGCAGAUUCUGUGUAUACUCAUUCCGACAUUAUUAUUUAAAUGCCUAGAGCAGAAUGUCCACGUGUUAGUGACAUAUUGUAUUUGCUAUUGCAAGAAAUAUUGCGUGUACAUAUUCUGAAAUUGUGUGUUGUCCUUGCAUAUGUGGCUAAGUCCUUUAAAAUGGGAGAUGAUAAGUAGAAUGCCGGACCAAGUGAAGCAUUUAGAUCGGAUGAUAAGCAUGAAUGAUAUUGAUUGCCUAUCAAAUUUGCGUAUGGAUCGUAAUACAUUUGGGCGGUUGUGCCGGAAUAUUACGGGACAGGGGGGUUAAUAAAUGGUCGUUUCGUAACCGUGGAAGAACAGGUAGCAAUGUUCUUAUCUGUCAUAGCCCAUCACAAAAAAGCAGGGUAGUGGGAUUUGAUUUUUGGCGUUCCGGUCAAACUAUCUCAUAUUAUGUACAUGUUGUCCUAGGAGCAAUCAUAAGGUUGCAUGAGCUUUUUUUAGCUAAACCCGAAGCUGUACUCGAUGAUUGCACAGACCCUCGAUGGCAAUGGUUUAAGGGUUGUCUAGGCGCCUUAGAUGGCACCUACAUUAACGUGAUGGUAAGUAAUAGCGACAAACCACGUUAUAGGACAAGGAAAGGACAGAUAUCAACAAAUGUUUUAGGUGUUUGUGACCGCAAAAUGAAUUUCAUUUAUAUUUUAUCCAGAUGGGAAGGUUCCGCAGCAGACUCUAGAAUAUUGAGAGACGCUAUAAAUAGGCCUCACGGUCUAAAGGUUCCAAAGGGACAUUACUAUUUGUGUGACAAUGGUUACGCAAAUAGUGAUGGUUUUCUA